AUACGUAGGUGGCGAGCGUUAUCCGGAAUUACUGGGUGUAAAGGGUGUGUAGGCGGGAUUGCAAGUCAGGCGUGAAAUGGGAAGGCUCAACCAUCCAGCUGCGCUUGAAACUGUAAUUCUUGAGAGUGGGAGAGGUAAACGGAAUUCCUGGUGUAGUAGUGAAAUGCGUAGAUAUCAGGAGGAACACCGGUGGCGAAGGCGGUUUACUGGACCACAACUGACGCUGAGACACGAAAGCGUGGGGAGCAAACAGGAUUAGAUACCCUGGUAGUCCACACCGUAAACGAUGGAUACUAGAUGUUGGUGGUGAUAAGCCAUCAGUGUCGUCGCAAACGCAGUAAGUAUCCCACCUGGGGAGUACGACCGCAAGGUUGAAACUCAAAGGAAUUGACGGGG
rnacentral:rRNA from 1 species